rnacentral:RNase_P_RNA from 1 species
UUAGGUAGUCGUGCAGUUGCGUGCUUUUUUUGCACGAGGAAAGUCCGGACUCCGAGUAGACACAAUGCUGGGUAACGCCCAGCUGGAAUGGUUAUAAGAUCGUUUCAAGGGAAAGUGCAACAGAAAUUAUACCGCCUUAAUUUAUUAAGGUAAGGGUGAAAUGGUGUGGUAAGAGCGCACCGGCCGGUUGGUGACAAGCGGCGCGAAUGUAAACCCCAUUGGGAGCAAGACCAAAUAGGCAUAAUAGAACUUUAGUUCCUGGCAGUCUGCAGCCGGUUAUUAUGCGGGUAGGUUGCUUGAGGUUCAUGGUAACAUGUGCCCUAGAUAAAUAACUGCAAUAGCCGAUAGGCUAUACAGAAUCCGGCUUAUAGACUGCCUAUUUUU